rnacentral:misc_RNA from 1 species
GGUAUCAAGGAUCUGAAUAUAAUGAAAUGUGGAAUCUUGGGAGGAAGACUCUUUCUUGCGAUCAGUUUUGUUUCUGUCAGCAGGGGCAUACCCAAACAGUGUUUCGAUCAUCUCCUCAUUGAACUGGAAUGAUCCUGAUUUAAUCUGAUGCCAAACCAUUGAAUGAUCAGGAUUGGCUAGAACUUUAUCCCAGAAAAAUGGCUUCAGCUUGGCUUUAGGA